GCGCGGUCCUGCCCGGUGACUUGUAGUUGCCUGACCCGAACCUCCAAGCACGCACCCCACCCUCUUCUGCCGCUGGCUCCGUCCAGGCCGUUACUGUAAAGCGAGCUCCAGGAAGCUGCCACAGGAAGGAGCCUUGUGUGAGGUCUGCCUGGCCUACAGAGUGAGACCUUGCCUCAGAGUAGAUGAGUGGAAAUAAGACGUGUCUGAAGAACAGGAGGAGCGGUCCUAGCGGGAAACCACCGAGCAUGAGCAGAAGAGCGGUCCUAGCGGGGAAAGCACCCAGCAUGAGGGACUCUUCAAAUUUCGAGUAUGGCUUUAAUGGAGACGUGCAGUUGGAGAUGUUGAAAACCAUGGCAGCUCCAUUAACCAGCACCACCAUUGUUAGGUGGAAGUCUGUGUGCGGUAAAGAGUUACAUCCAAAUGGGGCGUGGUGGCGCAUAGCUUUGAUUCCAGCACCAAAGAGGCUGAAACAGGAGGAUGUCUAAUUCCAGGGCAGCCUGGGAUACAUUACAAGAUACUGCGUCAGAAAAAAGAAACCAAGGAAGACACAAAACAGAUGCUCAACGUCCAAAGACGGCAGAACAGACAGCCGAAAGAAGUCUUGCCACCAAGGCAGAGGACCUGAUCUGAUCGUCGGGACCCACGUGGCAGAAGAAAAGAACUGGCUCCCUGAAGUUGUUCUCUCAUCCCCGUGCAAACUGACGUGCGUACCUCUCCCACGUGCACACAAAGGAAGUGUAAUUUUACACUUUUGGUUGUGAGU